rnacentral:rRNA from 1 species
CCUACGGGUGGCUGCAGUGGGGAAUAUUGGACAAUGGGGGCAACCCUGAUCCAGCCAUGCCGCGUGUGUGAAGAAGGCCCUCGGGUUGUAAAGCACUUUCAGUGAGGAAGAACGCCUGGUGGUUAAUACCCAUCAGGAAAGACAUCACUCACAGAAGAAGCACCGGCUAACUCCGUGCCAGCAGCCGCGGUAAUACGGAGGGUGCGAGCGUUAAUCGGAAUUACUGGGCGUAAAGCGCGCGUAGGUGGCUUGAUAAGCCGGUUGUGAAAGCCCCGGGCUCAACCUGGGAACGGCAUCCGGAACUGUCAAGCUAGAGUGCAGGAGAGGAAGGUAGAAUUCCCGGUGUAGCGGUGAAAUGCGUAGAGAUCGGGAGGAAUACCAGUGGCGAAGGCGGCCUUCUGGACUGACACUGACACUGAGGUGCGAAAGCGUGGGUAGCAAACAGGAUUAGAUACCCCGGUAGUU